GCAUGUUAUUUGAAUUAAAGAUUCAUCGGUAACGGAUGGGGAUGCGUGACAUUAGAUAGUAGGCGGGGUAACGGCCCACCGUAGUCUACGAUGUCUAGGGGUUCUGAGAGGAAGGUCCCCCACACUGGAACUGAGACACGGUCCAGACUCCUACGGGAGGCAGCAGUGAGGAAUAUUGGUCAAUGGUCGGAAGACUGAACCAGGCCCAUGCCGCGUGAAGGAAGAAUGUCCUAUGGAUUGUAAACUUCUUUUGUAAAGGGAGCAAUAAGUUCCAUGCGUGGGAUGAUGAGAGUACCCUUACGAAUAAGCAUCGGCUAACUCCGUG
rnacentral:rRNA from 1 species